rnacentral:rRNA from 1 species
GACGAACGCUGGCGGCGUGCUUAAUACAUGCAAGUCAACUGAACUUUAGGUAGCAAUAUUUAAAGGGAGGUGGCGCACGGGUGAGUAACACGUAGGUAAUCUGCCUUCAGGACUGACAUAACUCCGCGAAAGCGGGACUAAAAUCAGAUGAUGCAGCGGCUCGACAUCGAGACAGUUGUUAAACCUUCGGGGCCUGAAGAUGAGCCUGCGUCUGAUUAGGUAGUUGGAGGGGUAAUGGCCCACCAAGCCUGCGAUCAGUAGCUGGUCUGAGAGGAUGAUCAGCCACACUGGAACUGAGACACGGUCCAGACUCCUACGGGAGGCAGCAGUAAGGAAUAUUGCUCAAUGGCCGAAAGGCUGAAGCAGCAACGCCGCGUGGAGGAUGAAAUACUUUAGUAUGUAGACUCCUGUAAGAGGGGAAAAUAUACAGUUCUGCUGUAUUGAUUGUACCCUCAGAGUAAGCACCGGCUAACUACG